rnacentral:lncRNA from 13 species
CACAUGAAGACUUAGCUCCCUCUCUGCUCCUGCUAAGUCUAAGGAAUGCAAAUUUUGCCUUUGCAAAAAUUAACAUCAUGCUCCUAGCAAGAAAGCAGGUGACAAGCUCAGCAGCUCUGCUUCAGUUUGUUUUUCUCCAUGGCAGGAACAUGUGCCCCUGAGUGGGCACUGUUAGUGGAAUCGGUAGGAACGCAAAUGCAAAGGCAGGGAGAUAAAGGUGAGUCAGGAAGGAGAAAGCGGCACUUGGGGGCAGAACAGAACACCAAAAAAGCCAGGUGAUGGAAACAAGGCAAACCAUCAUUAGCCCAAGUUAACAGAAGCAAGUUGACUCAUGCAGCCGUGGGAAAAGCUAAGGUUGCUUGCAUGGACAUGGUGAGUCAUCUAAUGUGUAAGUCAAGCUACCAGCUAUAAUUAAUCUUGUACGUGGACACAAAGUCGAGUAUUUUGAACAUGAGCUAAUGAGAUUGACCUGUAGGAUCAUGCAGCUCUAACAGCUGAGUAGGCAAAUCAAGGAUAAAGGAAAAAGCUGGGGGUGCCCUUGGGCAGUCCCUUUCUUUGUGGCCUGUGCAUUUGCCUGUGUGGUGCUCUCUGUGGGAUGCAGGCUGAGCUGGAUGAAAUUUGCCCCACCCACGCUGCCCUCAAGUUGCUCCUUAUUUAUAGUACUAUUCCAGGAGGAUGUCUUCUGCAGUACAAGUACGGAUCUCGACCAUAAGAAGUUGUGAUGGUGACCCUUGGGCUGGCCCAUUUAGACUGACACAAAAGGAUACACAGACAUCUUGAUGGGCUGCAGGAAUGGAGCAUAAGAACACCCUACAGACCUGUUAUUCGCUGCAUGUUCCUACGGGUGCCAGCAGAGCACAACUUCGAGUAAUGGGAACAGUAACCUGUGAGAGAGAACUGAAAAGGCAAAUCUGAAUUUAUCUCCACCUGUCCUGUUCCAGUGAAUAAUGAAAGCACGCUGGAAAACUGGAACAACUGAAGCAGCCACCUCAGGCCCAGAAAAAAAGCCACGUGCUAAAAGUUGCACAUCUAUCCAGCCAGCAACCAAACACACCAGCUCUAAACCUCUAAACCUCUGCUGCAUGGCAUGGAAUAAAAGCAAAUUUCUCUCCUACUUAAGCCACUUUGUUUUGGAGUCCCUUUCUUAUAGUAGUUUAUCUGAUACCGCAUUCAGAGAUGUGGCUUUGAACUUGAGUAAGAGAGCAAUGUCCUGUGUUUGUGAAAGGUCAAAAGUUUAUCCACAUAACCUUCACCUUGUUCCUGUCUCCCUCCCUCACAUGCUGGGCUCCAGCUGGACUGGCCACUUUCCUGUUUUUGAACUCCUUCACUUCUUUCCCACCUCGGAGUCCUUUGCCAGGAACGCUCUGUCUUGUCACUCUUCCCUUUGUUGACUCAUUACCCUCAGGUCUUAGUUUACAAGUCAUAUUAUCAGAGAUACCUUCUUGGACCGCCCUGUAUAUAUUUAUUUUCUAUGGUACAUAACCAGUAACUGUAAACUUAGCAGCCAAAACACCACAAAUGUAUGACCUCAUGAAUUCUGCAGGUCGGAAGUCUGCCACAUGUUAUCUAGGUCUUCUCAGGAUCUCACAAGGCUGCAGUCAAGGUGUCAGCUGGUUGUAUCCUCAUCUGGAGGCUCAACAGGGCAAGGAUCCACUUCCAAGUUUCCUUGGGCAUCGGUGGAAUCCAUUUCCUUCUGGCUGUGUGAUGAAGGUCCCCAUUUCCUUGCUGGCUUUCAGCUCCUAGAGGCUACUCUUGGGUUUUUGCCAUACAGCUCCCUUCAAAGGCAGCUCACAACAAUAUGGCACCAAUCCAAUAAGACAAACUAUAUAUAAUGUAACCUAAUCAAGUGUGACUAUCCCAUCAUAUUCAUAGGCCCUGCCCACAUUCAAGGGGAAGGGACUCUCAGGGCAGGAAGUGGGUGAAGGGAACGAGCUCUUCGCAGCCAUCUUAGAAUUCAGCCUAGCACCCAGCGGAAACAGGCCUGCCCUCCCUGUUGGUCCUUGUUCCUACUUCCUGUUUCUCAUCACCACACUCAUCAGUUUCAGUUAUACCUUUUUUUGUUUCCUUGUUGUAUGUCUGUCUUUCCCACUAGAUUGUAAGCCUCAUGUUUUUAUAUUCAGGUCCCAGUAUUAAGACUGGGACAAAGUAAACACUUAAUAAAUAACUGCUGAAUGAACA